AUGACAGAGUUUAGUCAGACUGACAGGAAGUACCGGAGGAAUGACAGUUGGGUCUGGAGUGGCCAUAAAGCUCUUACUGCCAGCACAUUUCUCUGUGCUCCACCACCACCCCACUGCCUCCCCAAAAGCUUCCUGCCCGAAGAGGCCAUCAGAACCUGCAUCCUGAUUCUGAAAUUAUCACCAGCGAUCUUGAGGAAAAGUGAUGGGACUGACAUUGGUGAACCGAGCACACAGGGAAGAAAAUCUGUAAUUGAUGGCAACAUGAUCACAUACCAGGAUCCUCAGAUGUCAUGAGUCUAAGUCCCACGCCAAGCAUUUUUGGUGAUUCUAGGCUUAUAUGGCAGAGCUCCUUUGAUAGGUGAGACAUUCUAAAGAUGCAAAACUUAAAAAAGACCAUCAAAGCUGGAACAAUUUGAGCAAAAAAAUAUAUAACAGUAUUUGAGUAUAGCCCAAAGUAUAAAAUAAAUAUAUGAGUCCAUACUCCUAUACA
rnacentral:lncRNA from 1 species